GAUGAACGCUGGCGGCGUGCCUAAUACAUGCAAGUCGAGCGAACGGACGAGAAGCUUGCUUCUUUGAUGUUAGCGGCGGACGGGUGAGUAACACGUGGAUAACCUACCUAUAAGACUGGGAUAACUUCGGGAAACCGGAGCUAAUACCGGAUGAUAUUUUGAACCGCAUGGUUCAAAAGUGAAAGACGGUCUUGCUGUCACUUAUAGAUGGAUCCGCGCUGCAUUAGCUAGUUGGUAAGGUAACGGCUUACCAAGGCAACGAUGCAUAGCCGACCUGAGAGGGGGCACGGCGACACUGGCAGUGAAACAGGGACCAGACUCCUAAGGGAGGAAGCAGUAGGGAAUCUUCGGCAGUGGGCGGGAACCUGGCGGAGCAGCGCCGCGUGAGUGAUGAAGGUCUUCGGAUCGUAAAACUCUGUUAUUAGGGAAGAACAUAUGUGUAAGUAACUGAGCACAUCUUGACGGUACCUAAUCAGAAAGCCACGGCUAACUACGUG
rnacentral:rRNA from 1 species